GGGCGCGUAGCUCAGUUGGUUAGAGCGCUUCGCUUACACCGAAGAGGUCGUGAGUUCGAGUCUCUCCGCGCCCA
rnacentral:tRNA from 1 species